GGACCCACUUUCUGUGAGAGAGGGGAGAGGGAGCACUAGUGCACCGGGUGAGGGAAAACAAAAUCUCUUUUAACGUUCAGUUUUUCCAACUUCAAAUUUCAAACUCACUGAAAGUGACCGUAACAUGCACAUGAACUAUAAGCAACUAUAAUUUCCUUUUAAGUUCUCUGCUACUUGAUGAUUAAUUUUGUAAUGUAUUUAGAUAAA
rnacentral:misc_RNA from 1 species